UACAGAGGGUGCGAGCGUUAAUCGGAAUUACUGGGCGUAAAGCGUGCGUAGACGGCUAUCUAAGUCGGGUGUGAAAGCCCCGGGCCACACUGGGAAUUGCAUUCGAGACUGAAUAGCUAGGGUACGGUAGAGGGAAGCGGAAUUUCCGGUGUAGCGGUGAAAUGCGUAGAUAUCGGAAGGAACAUCAGUGGCGAAAGCGGCUUCCUGGACCAGUACCGACGUUCAGGCACGAAAGCGUGGGGAGCAAACAGGA
rnacentral:rRNA from 1 species